GGAAGGAUCAUUCAAGACGCUAUUUCGGUAGCAAACAUAACGUUGAACCCCCAAACUCUAUAAACAUACAUAUAAAAACAAAAGUAUUACCAGUGGAUACCUUGGUUGCCAUAACGAUGACGAACGCAGCAAAGCGCGAUAGUAAUUGCGAAUUGCAUGAUUUAGUGAAUCAUCAUAAUUUCGAAUGCACAUUGCGGUCUACCUCGCGGUAGAUCAUACCCCUCUCAGUGUUUAUACAAAUACACAUAUACUCAAACAAAGGGAAGUGAGCUAGGGCCCUUCAAAGGUUUAUAUUUGGGUUUCCAAAUAUGAACUGAUGAUGUGGAGUUUUUACAUUAAUAGGUGAACGGCUGAGUGUAGUAAUCGACUCUGUUGUGAUUGAAUGGAUUCUAAUGUUAAGCUCUUGGUAGCGUUGUCUAUAGUAGUAUCACUUUUGGUGCGAACAGACGUCACUGCCAUAAGCAAGAUUGUCUGGAUUCUUUUGAAAAUGGAAGAUAAAUGAAAUACUCAGGCUAGUAAUUGAAUUCUUGUGAUUGUCUGAAUUUUAAUAUCGUAACUCAUACUUGUUGUCUAUAGUAGUAUCACUUUUGGUGCGAACAGACGUCAUUUUGAGGGAUCGGUUGUCUGGAUUCUUUGAGAACUUGAAGGAAAACUAUUAACCGGAUGACGGUCAUCGACUGAUGCAUAAGUGUGCUAGUAGCUGGCAAAGUUCGAGAGAAUAUUGAUGAAUUCCAGAAUAGAGGAUUUCCAGAAAUGGAGAACUUUUAGGAUGGAAGGAUUUGAUUAGUACUUCUUACCAAGCCUACCAAUGUAUUCUCUUGCUGACGUCUUUGUCGUUGCUCGCUUCUACGAUGUUUGGGGCCACACGGAGUACAGCAAGUCGUGAUCUCGCCCGGUCAUGCGCUUGUCGAAAAUGUGGUGUUUCUGGAAAUCCAUUCGUGGGUAUCCAGGAGCUGCAAUUUCUGUCGCAAGAUAGAAGGAGCUAUGUGAUCAUUAGUGUCAAUUGCGUCUGCUAUUUAACACUGUGGUUGAGCAUCUGUUUUUACCAUUAUCUAAAUUUACUUCUUCUGGAGCAUCUUAGACUUGGAAUUAGCAUUUGUUUUUCUUUCUAGUAUAACCUGAAGGGGGUAAGAGGACCUCCUGAGUUUAAGCAUAUUCUUAAGGAGAGGAAAAAAUCAAAACCGGAUACCCUUAGUAACUGCGAGUGAACAGGGUUUUGUUCAUGCCUGGAAUUUCUGGUUUUUUAAAUCAGAAAGUUGUGGUAUUUGGAAGCAUUCUCAGAAGGGUAUAUGGUGAAGUUAGUUGGAAAACUACUGCUAGAAAGGGUGAAAGCCCCGUUUGGCCAUCUGUUCCCCUUCGUACGAGAUGUUUUCUACGAGUCGGGUUGCUUGGGAAUGCAGCCUUAAGUAUGUGGUAAAUUUCACAUAAGACUAAAUAUAUAUGGCAAACCGAUAGCGCACAAGUACCGUGAGGGAAAGGUGAAAAGAACUUUGAAAAGAGAGUUAAAAGCAUUUGAAACUGGUAAUACUAAAGGAAUAGGAACCUCAAACCUUACAGUCGCAUCCACGAAGGGGAUAUGAUGGACAUCAUUUGGGAGCCAUGUAUUUGGCCCAAUUAGUGUCUAUGAUUAUCUUCUCUCGCGAUUUGUAGACUGGGUCAUUCUGUUUGGCAUAUUGGCUUGCAGACGUUGGUGCUUUUCUUAGUGUGGGUUCCUUGACGGGCCUACCUUUGUAUUUGCCCGACUGUGCAUUUCACGUGCUUUAACGGGAUGUGAUGGUUCCUAUUCACCCGUCUUGAAACACGGACCAAGAGUCGAGUGCACAUGCAAGCGUGGGAGUGUAAAACUUCAACGCGUAAUUAAAGUGAGGAGGUAACUUUUUACUUUACGGUAUGAAACCAGAGGUGGCAAUACCGCCCCUAUCUCACAUUGUGGAGGUAUGGCGGAGCAGCAUGUGUGUUCGGACCCGAAAGAUGGUGAACUAUGCCUGAGUAGGGUGAAGUCAGGGGAAACUCUGAUGGAAGCUCGUAGCGAUACUGACGUGCAAAUCGUUCGUCAAACUUGGGUAUAGGGGCGAAAGACUAAUCGAACCAUCUAGUAGCUGGUUCCCCC
rnacentral:misc_RNA from 1 species